GCGCGCACCAAGUACGCGCGACAAGGACGCGCAAUCCGGUUCGCCAAACCGAAUGUACACGACAAGGACCGAACGAGUUACGUUAAAAAAACGCGGAAACUACCAAUAGGAACAGAUCGACGAACGUUCUUACACGUUGCCACCGUGAGCCAGGUUAAAAGAAACGAAGGGAAAGGCAGGUCAAAGCAGCGACGCACUGGCCAGGUGCGCAGACAUUCCACUCGCCUUGCGGUACGCUUCCCCCGCUUCCCCCGGGCCGCUGAUUAUUUUCCUGGAGCGCCACGUUUUACUUCUUCAUGGCGGACCGAACGAUACGUAAUAUAACGACAGAUCGAUACAUCGAACAAUCCGGAACGAUAGUAUGUAUCCGUGUGUAUGAAUGAAUCCUCUCUAUUGGCGAAGGUAAACAUUCCAAGUGGUAUGAUCAGGAAACCAUGUGGAUUGGGAAGAGGUGUGCGAGAAGGAGAAACAAAAAUGGCGGCUACCUGAGGCGCGCUUCCGAAUUAUACAGAGGCUCUAUAACUGAUCACAGGAAAGAGAGUGAAGAAAAUCCUAACGAGCAACAGGUUGAUACGAUCGACGUGUGAGGUGGGGAGAUAGGAGAAUGAGAAGAGCUAUGUAUAGACAAAGAAGCAGAAAACGGGAAAGCAAUCAUCGUUGGAUUUGGUAGGAAUAUCCGUAGAAGCGAAAUGCUUACUUAGCGCUAUGUAAGACUGACGAUGUUGUGACAAGGAGACCGGAUUGGUCGGUCACCUGUUGCUUGCCAGUUGCGAUUGGUCGGACUUGACAGCGCGUAAUGACGCGACGGUCAGAAGAGGACAAGUGCAUUGUCGACUGGUCUAUGAUGUACCAAGAUCGAAUGAAUAUUAUAAAAAUGCGUACAAUAUAUUUAUGCGUACAAUUUGUUAUUUAUAUCCAUACGAAGUAUUCUGUCUAACACGAUGUACAACUUUUCAAUGAUUCAUGGUCACGUAACAAAAACAAUGUUGAAAAAAAAUUUAUCGAUGCCGAGUGUAUAACGACCAUAAUAAAAAUUUCGAAAAUAAUUACUUUUAUAGCGAAACGAAGAUCAUCUUAGUUUUUUAAAAAGAGAGUUAUGUUUUUUUUUUUUUAAAUUUAUUGUAAAAGAAAACAAACAACUAAAACAUGCAUCACGUUAGAUAGAACAUCAUGUAUGUACAAUAUUGUACACAUACGCAGUACAUUUUACCUUUAUCUAUGAACAAAGCAAUUAUGUUGUCUGUUGUUAAAAUUGAUUUUGCAUUCGUUAGUGUUAAUGGACCAAUUAUUGUUUCGAUAUUGAUUUACGAUAGUUUCAGCUGUACUCUACAACAUAAAUAUUUAUCACCGUUACCUUCGAAUUAUUUACGUUUCUGCAUAAAGUUUAAGUAUGAUAGUAUAAUAGAUAAGAUACAUAUAUACAUAUAUCUGACGUGAAAGCGCAUCUAAUAUUUAAGAUCUUAAUAUAGCAUAUAACACGAAAUAACAAGGACGAAAUCCUUGCAUAUAUAUAUAGCGGACAGGUGUAUAAGUCUUGCGUGAACAAGCGGCGCUGCGGUGAGACUCGCUCGAGACCAAAGUCUACGUUCGAGGAGCAAAGUCUGCUCAAACGAUGGAGGAAAGCCGGUUUACGAUAUCGGACUCUGAACUUCAUAUUAUAUCGAUCCUUUACGUUAAUGAAUGUUGUUAUAAAAUAGAUGCGAAUCUUAAGUGUUUCCUUGUAUAUUUGCAAUAACGUUUUGCCAAUUCUUCUUUGUCUAAAUGUUAUUUGCGCGAGCAUCAAACAUUUAAAUGUGAUUAAAGUCUCUAUUAUAAAAUUUAUUAUUCUAAAAUAAACGUUUUUCAUAUAUUA